rnacentral:rRNA from 1 species
UACGUAGGGGGCAAGCGUUGUCCGGAUUUAUUGGGCGUAAAGAGCGUGUAGGCGGCCGAGCAGGUCCGUUGUGAAAACUCGAGGCUCAACCUCGAGACGUCGAUGGAAACCGCACGGCUAGAGUCCGGAAGAGGAGAGUGGAAUUCCUGGUGUAGCGGUGAAAUGCGCAGAUAUCAGGAAGAACACCCGUGGCGAAGGCGGCUCUCUGGGACGGUACUGACGCUGAGACGCGAAAGCGUGGGGAGCGAACAGG